rnacentral:rRNA from 1 species
GACGAACGCUGGCGGCGUGCCUAACACAUGCAAGUCGAACGGGGUUAGGAAAGCUUGCUUUCCGAAGCCUAGUGGCGGACGGGUGAGUAACGCGUGAGUAACCUGCCUUUCAGAGGGGAAUAACGUUCUGAAAAGAACGCUAAUACCGCAUAACGUACAGUUACCGCAUGGUAGCAGUACCAAAGGAGCAAUCCGCUGAGAGAUGGACUCGCGUCCGAUUAGCUAGUUGGUGGGGUAAAGGCCUACCAAGGCGACGAUCGGUAGCCGGACUGAGAGGUUGAACGGCCACAUUGGGACUGAGACACGGCCCAGACUCCUACGGGAGGCAGCAGUGGGGGAUAUUGCACAAUGGGGGAAACCCUGAUGCAGCAACGCCGCGUGUGGGAAGAAGGUUUUCGGAUUGUAAACCACUGUUCUUGGUGAAGAUAAUGACG